GACGUAGGGCGCGAGCGUUGUCCGGAUUUAUUGGGCGUAAAGAGCUCGUAGGCGGCUCGUCGCGUCGACUGUGAAAACCCGCGGCUCAACCGUGUGGCUUGCAGUUGAUACGGGCAGGCUAGAGUUCGGUAGGGGAGACUGGAAUUCCUGGUGUAGCGGUGAAAUGCGCAGAUAUCAGGAGGAACACCGGUGGCGAAGACGGGUCUCUGGGCCGAUACUGACGCUGAGGAGCGAAAGCGUGGGGAGCAAACAGG
rnacentral:rRNA from 1 species